rnacentral:rRNA from 1 species
CUACGGGGGGCUCCAGUGGGGAAUAUUGCUCAAUGGAGGAAACUCUGAUGCAGCAACGCCGCGUGGAGGAUGACACUUUUCGGAGCGUAAACUCCUUUUAUAUAGGAAGAAGAUGACGGUACUAUAUGAAUAAGCGCCGGCUAACUCCGUGCCAGCAGCCGCGGUAAUACGGAGGGCGCAAGCGUUACUCGGAAUCACUGGGCGUAAAGAGCGUGUAGGCGGAUUAAAAAGUCAGAAGUGAAAUCCUAUAGCUUAACUAUAGAACUGCUUCUGAAACUCUUAAUCUAGAAUAUGGGAGAGGUAGAUGGAAUUUCUGGUGUAGGGGUAAAAUCCGUAGAGAUCAGAAGGAAUACCGAUUGCGAAGGCGAUCUACUAGAACAUUAUUGACGCUGAGACGCGUAAGCGUGGGGAGCAAACAGGAUUAGAUACCCGCGUAGUC